rnacentral:rRNA from 1 species
CAGUCGCCGCGGUAAUACGAGGGGGGCAAGCGUUGUUCGGAUUUAUUGGGCGUAAAGGGUGCGUAGGCGGUUUGGCAAGUCUUGUGUGAAAUCUUCGGGCUCAACCCGAAGCCUGCACGAGAAACUAUCGGGCUUGAGUAUUGGAGAGGUGAGUGGAAUUUCCGGUGUAGCGGUGAAAUGCGUAGAUAUCGGAAGGAACACCUGUGGCGAAAGCGGCUCACUGGACCAUUACUGACGCUGAUGCACGAAAGCUAGGGGAGCAAACAGGAUUAGAUACCCCCGUAGUCCCUGUCUCUUAUAC